rnacentral:rRNA from 1 species
AUGGCUGGUGCCGAUGAAUUUUCUUCUGGUGGGGAAGACGCUGAACAGCACGCUGGCGAAGGCGGUGAUUCCGAGAGGCAGGUUCCUGAACAGCUGCUGUGCCUCCUCCCCCGCGUUCGGGAAGAAGCAGUUCUGGAUCCCCACGUCGGUCAACGCCAUUGCCAAGAACACGAGCACCACGAGGACGGCAUGAACAAGGUCCUGGCCCCUCAGGCGGCGCCUCUUCAGCUCCGGCAAGAUGUCGGAGAACUCCACGUCCUCCUCCCCCUUGGACAGGUUGAGCACGUUGAGGCGGCCGCAGGUGGCCACGCCGUAGUACAGCUUGCCGUUGUGGACCAGGGAGUCCGUCAGGACGAAGAAGAAGCAGGAGAGGGAGAGCACCACGAGCAGCACCAUGGUGAUGUACCAGUUGCUGCUGUAGCACUUGCCCCCGUUGCUGAAGGACGAGGCCAGCAUCUGGUAUAUCAUCACCGUCCCCGACGGCAGCAGCUGCGUCAGGUUCGCCGUCGCCGCCAGAAUCGGCCUGUCCACCCCGGCCGCCGACACCGGCUUGAUGAGCGGCGUGUGCCCUGCCUCGAUGUCGUCCAUGGCACCGCUGAGUGCUGCCAUUUGCUCGGCUCACUUGUAAUUUCUGAUGCGUACGUGUGUGUGUGUUUACUAGCACGGUAG